ACCGAAUAGCCGCGGUUAUGAUUUCAUACGUAGUACCGCCCACCGCGGAACCAAAAUCUAAUUAAUUUUAAAUUACUUUCAUUAUCAGCUCUUAGCAAAGAAAGAUGCGUAGCUAAGAAGCAGUAGUAGUUUUCUGCAGGCAACUUUGUUGCAAACUAGUCUAGAAUAGCUACUCUGCCAGGAUCUCUAAGUUUUGAACGGAGGAGUAUACCAGCCAAGGCCCCAGCGAAGGAUCAUUUCACAAGUAAGCUCUGUGUGUGUAUAGCGAUCAUCAUUUUCCUAGUUCAGCCUUUAGAAGCCUUUUGAGCUGAUUUAAUAUGCUUGUCCACCUACCUAGAUAGCCUCUGAGUGUGUGAAAUAUACUGGAAGAGUAGCUUUCAUUUGCCUCUAGCAAAGAAAGAUGCAUAACUUGGAAACAGUGACAGUUUUCUUUAUUCAACUUCUUACUAAAGUAGUCUACAGUAGUUACUGUGUCAGGAUCUCCUGGUUUCCAACGAAACAGUCAACCAGCCAAGGGCCAGAGCAAGGGAUCACUUCAGAGUGUGGCAAAGAAAGAUGCACCCCUUAGUAACAGUAACAGUUCUCUUCAAGCUACCUUGUAGUUCUAUCUGAACAGUCGAAGAGUCAACCAGCCAAGGACAGAGCGAGAGAUUACUUUAGAGGUCUGUGAAACUAUCAUCACUGCUAUCUGCCAUGGAACCACCACCAUCGUAUGGGUCUGAGAAGGUCUACUCACUGUGACUACUAUCCAGGAUACCUAGGAGUACCUCAUCCCCUGUGUACAGAGGCCUCUUAGUCAUUGUUGUACCAUAGAAUUAAUUGUAAUUGUAUUUAUUAUAAUGUAUGUUCACUUUUGAGAUUGAUAUUGAAAUACAAAUUUCACAUGAAAAUUUCAGCAAAUUUUUGA